rnacentral:rRNA from 1 species
CGUCAAGGGCAAUUAGCUAGAGCAGCAGGUGCUGUAGUGAAACUCAUUGCAAAAGAGGGUAAAUCGGCCACUUUAAGAUUACCAUCUGGGGAGGUCCGUUUAGUAUCCCAAAACUGCUUAGCAACAGUCGGACAAGUGGGAAGCAUAGAUUGCUGUCAACAAAGAGUUUUAUUAGUAUUUAGUUAG